CGGGCACCGGGAGAGCAGCGCGCCGCGGCCCCUCGCCUCCCUCAGAGCGCUCCGCACCGCCGUCCCCACCGACCUUCAACGGGGCCGGGGCCAGGCUCCGACCGCCAGCAGUCGCUGGGCAAGAGGGACGGAGGGAGGGGUCGUGGGUGUCGGGAGCCGGGGGAGCCAGAGGGGACAGUAAGGGGGUUACCUCUCGCCCGGCUCGGCCUCUUCCCCCGCCUGUCGAACGGAGGAGCUCGUUGUCCAGCUGCAAGAAGACGGCCCGACCCGGCUCCUCCGUGCAGUCCCGGGUAGAGAGCCCGGUCCCUGCGCUAGUCGAUUUGUGCAGUAGGAAAGGAGGCUGCAGGGGAUCUGCGCCGGGGCAGGACAGAUGCCUUUCGGGACCCAGUGUUUGCAUCUUGGGAGAUGUGGGUGCUGAUCUGGUUGUUUCUUGGUUUAUGACGCCAAAAAGGGCGGGAGGGGGCUGAUGAAGUGAAGCCUUUCGCUAAUACAUUCCGUUAACAGA
rnacentral:lncRNA from 1 species